GCUAGCAUGGCACAGUGGUUAGUGUGUUGGGCUAGGACCCAUGAGUUCAGGGUUCAAAUCCCCACUAAGCCAUGAAGCU